ensembl:lncRNA
CACACAAUCUUCAAGUUCACAGUACAUGCUGGAAAAACCUGUUCCUAAAUGAAUAACUUCGUCUUGUUGUCACAUUUACAAGCAAACACUCCCGAGCUACACUUUUCACGUCAUUAUGGUUUACUCCUCUGCAGGUGCAUCUCUACUGCCACCAUGUGGUCGGAAGAUGCGGCUGCUGCAAUCUUGUGCACAUUUCCACUGACAAUAAAGACACAGCACACAGACAAGUUCUUAUUUUCCAGUAAAAAAAUGAAACAAAAAUAAAACAAAAACAAAACAAGACUUUAUUAAAGAAGCAUAAAAAAUAAAACUCUUGAUACAUUUCUCAUAACCGUCAAGUCAGCUCAAAUUAUACGAUUAUACAAUUUUUCCCGGCUCACGGUUAAAAGGUCCAUAAACUUUCAAAUAAAAUAUAUUUCAAUUUUAAAAUUUCUUCAAUAAUUUUCUCAUUUUGUUAUAAAUCGCCUAUAUGUAGUACACAGGAAAUAAGGAAAAUGAAAAAAAAAGAAAACAAAAUGGAAAACAAAAAUAAAUUUGAAGUAAUAAAAGGGUCACAUUAUUGUCUGGGAUAUUUAGGUAAGCAAAUAAAUUGUAAAAAAUAAAAUGUGUAAAAAGUUUUUUGUUUUUUUGUAUUUUUGUUUUUUUUGUAUCUUAAAAAUUAUUAGCUAAUGCCAGAAGGCUCGAAGACAUGCAGAUGGUUAACUUACAAAUAAUAACACAUGUUUUUUUUAGAAACUACGUUCAUCUUCAAUUAAGUUGUUUUGCUUUGAAAAACAAGAUCCCGAUGAUUGUAUCCAGGGUAUAUACAUACACACAGGUUAGGCCUGAAACCUAGUUUGCUGACGUUUUACAUUUUGGUUCUGCAUACAAAAAGAAUUAAAGCAAAAAUAGAGGAGAGCAGAGGUUCGAGGAGAGUCUGGCACCCCGUACUGGCGUGGCUCUCUUUGCAUUCCCCCCACCUCUAAUCACAAAAAAGGUCAGAGGUCACUGGCUAGCAUGCCUCAGGAAACCCUGUUUUCAAACCUUUAGGAAGGAAGUGGGGGAAGGGGGAGACGUCUUGUUAAGAAAAAAAAAAAAAAAAAAAAAAAAAGUACCUUUUAACAAUUAAACUACUGUACAUCAACCCUAACAUUCUCUCGACGGCCACAAACAUCCUGGUGCAACAGCAGGAUCUAUGCUGAACCCAUCUGGAAAUCACAACACAUUUUAUUGUUUAACGCGUCACCUCAGACAGUUGAAAGUAAGAGCUUUAAGUUGGGCCUCAGACUUGCAUCAGUCAUCACAGAAUGGCUCAUAUAGACGCGCUCGCAGCCCCGUGUUUGCUCUGAGGAACACGCUCCAGCCCCACGGGGCCGGGUGGGCAUUUAGAGGGGGAGGGGUGAGGGCGAGAAUGAGAACAGGGUCAUUGGGUCUACAGUGCAUUGGAGAAGUUGAUCUGAGAACAAAACGGCCUCCCUUUACCCACUUAUUUCUCCUGCGUUUGUGCAGGGAGUUGCACUAGAAGCACCACGAGCUCAUCUGCGCACCAAUUGGUGCGCUGCUGCUGCUCAACCAGGACAGCCUCGUCACGCGCGUAGGAAACAGACAAAAAUAAGUUAAACAUCAUCAUCAUCAUCAUCAUCAUCCAGGCUACAGCACCAAAGCACAGCAAAAUCAGCCCACAUAUUUACUCAAGAGUUACCUUUAAUUCCUUGACAUUUAAACCCUGCAACUCGUCCUGAUCUGUGAGACACCCUGAUGCAGCGCCAUACACACCAACAGGAUCUGCAUGUGAUGACUGUGUAGGGCAAUUACACACACACACCCCGACACACAAAAGACCCCCCCCUCCCAAAAAAAGAAAGAAAGAAAGAAAAAAGCAACAAACAGAAUAACUAAAAAGAAGCACAACAUUCUGCAGCUGCUGGGAUUUGAACACGACGAGUGUCUGGAAGCCCUGGAUGACCUAGCUACUAGCUGCCAUAAAGGAUAAGUUGAUUCUUCCUACCGUGUGAGCCUGAAAAUGUGAUCGUGUGUCUGUGCGUUCAGAGGAAGCCCUUGUAAAUUAGGUACGUCUUUUUCUUUUUCUUCUUUUCUUUAAAAUUCAGCUGUCAUGGCUUUGUCUCGUUCUACGAGCUGAAUCCACACGUGUCAGGGAGAAGAGAGAGGGAAAAACAAAACAAAAAACCUGCAACCGUGUAACGUCACACAGACGUUGGAAAAAAAAAAAAAAAAAAAAAAAUCAUACACAUAGUAUAAAGACUACAGGAGGCAGUUACUGCAAACUCAAUGAAAUCAAAAAAAAAAACCCAACUUAAAAACAGGAUGUACCCGCCUCACUGGAGUUACUCAGUAAUGCUAUGAAACACAUGACAGACCCCAAUCAACCAGCCACAUAGUGCACUACAUUUUGCCAGGAGUACAGCGCUGUAUGGGGACAACAGUGACGUCAGAGAGUGCCGUACAGCUUCGCUGUGAGAGACAGGUGGAAGACCUAACAAAAACAGUAAGAGCUGUUUCUUUUUCGCUUUUAGUUUAGAGGGGCCGGGCCUUACAGUGCAUGAAGAAAAGGUUCAAUGGAGGCCCCUUGUAAUUGUUUAGUGUAGGAGGAGCAGCAGGAGGCCUCUCUCCUUAACCUUAACUGGACAACACAUUCUUGUGUGACAUCAGAAAAGCCCCAUCUUAUCCUAGUGUUCAAAAUAUUGUCUGUCAGCCACACACUUGACAGUCAAGAGUCAAAAACUAGUAGAAAACACCAGAAACAGGCGGCUCUGGGCGUAACAGACGUGGGAGGACAACUACAGUAGUGUGGAUGGAUCAGAGCGUCGCUUUCCUUCAAGACCGAGUGUGCAGCAAAGAAGAACGGGACAGGGAGCAGACCUACUCUCGGCGGUGCGACGAACAGCAUGAGUGGGCGUUGUUCUCUCGCACACACACUCAUACUCGCAUAUCGCAGAGACAGAGGGGUGUAAAGGGAUUGUCAGGCUGCCCAAACACAGAGACCUGACCUCAAACACAUUACUUCACGUAUGGUACGUUUCUCACCUAUUAAAGGAAAAUUAAUGUGAAUCAAUGCGACAGCCACAUUUGAAAUGUGGGGCAGACUCAUCCAACAUGAAUUCACUCAAGAGAUGUCUAUUAAUAACAUUCAUUUGGCUUACUUACUGAUGGCUAUUCUUUUGUGGCAAAGAGAAACUGGAAUUGAUCCUUAAGAGGUCCCUUGGGUUUAUUGUUCUUCUAGGUGCCUGACAACACAGCGAUCUUUAAAAUAAAAACAGAGAGAAAAGUCCCAAACUUACAGAAAAAAAAGAGGAACCUUGCCACUUCGUGCCACAACAGCAUGAGUGAGAGCAAAGGACAAAGGGAUUUGUUGGAAACGGGCGGUGCCCUGUUGAGAACAGUAAAAUUAGGGAGUAGAAAAGUGCAGGCCUCGUCGACAGCUUCAUUGAAAAAUAUCUGUUAAGUAUAAAAGUGUCAAAAAGAAAGGCUGUGAGACAGAUAGAGAGCGAGAGAGAGAGAGAGCAGGCAGAGAUCUGAAGAAGAAGCCAGAAUGAAGAAAUGUUGAGACAGACCAGCAGGCAGCCGCAAGGGCCGCUCUGGGUCAAAAAGAAGGCCUGAAGAGAGAUAAGACACUAGUUUCCUUCCGUUAAGUUCAACACCAAGAGACUGGCUGAGCUCCAACUGUCUACAGACCAGUUUCAAUUAACUUCACUCUGAAAAUAAGUCACUAUUAAUUAUUAUCAUCAUCAUUUAUCGACAGUUACCAGCAAUAAAUCAGCAUCCUUAUAGUAUCGUCAUCUCUAUUAAUGCAUUUAUUAUGGUCCAUCAUGUGUGUGAAGGUUAUUAUUGUGACUCC